AUUGAACGCUGGCGGCAUGCCUUACACAUGCAAGUCGAACGGCAGCACGGGAGCAAUCCUGGUGGCGAGUGGCGAACGGGUGAGUAAAGUAUCGGAACGUGCCCAGUCGUGGGGGAUAACGUAGCGAAAGUUACGCUAAUACCGCAUACGAUCUAUGGAUGAAAGCGGGGGAUCGCAAGACCUCGCGCGAUUGGAGCGGCCGAUAUCAGAUUAGGUAGUUGGUGGGGUAAAGGCUCACCAAGCCGACGAUCCGCAGCUGGUCUGAGAGGACGACCAGCCACACUGGGACUGAGACACGGCCCAGACUCCUACGGGAGGCAGCAGUGGGGAAUUUUGGACAAUGGGCGCAAGCCUGAUCCAGCCAUGCCGCGUGCAGGAUGAAGGCCUUCGGGUUGUAAACUGCUUUUGUACGGAACGAAAAGGUUUGGCUUAAUACGUUGAACUCAUGACGGUACCGUAAGAAUAAGCACCGGCUAACUACGUGCCAGCCGCCGCCGUAA
rnacentral:rRNA from 1 species